rnacentral:tRNA from 1 species
GGGUCUGUGGCUCAGUGGUAGAGCACUCUCCUGGCACAUGUGAGGCACUGUGUUCGAUCCUCAGCUUCA